rnacentral:rRNA from 1 species
AGUCGAGCGCACUCCUUCNGAGUGAGCGGCGGACGGGUUAGUAACGCGUGGGAAUAUGCCCUUCUCUAAGGAAUAGCCACUGGAAACGGUGAGUAAUACCUUAUACGCCCUUCGGGGGAAAGAUUUAUCGGAGAAGGAUUAGCCCGCGUAAGAUUAGAUAGUUGGUGGGGUAAUGGCCUACCAAGUCUACGAUCUUUAGCUGGUUUUAGAGGAUGAUCAGCAACACUGGGACUGAGACACGGCCCAGACUCCUACGGGAGGCAGCAGUGGGGAAUCUUGGACAAUGGGCGCAAGCCUGAUCCAGCCAUGCCGCGUGAGUGAUGAAGGCCUUAGGGUCGUAAAGCUCUUUCGCCAGAGAUGAUAAUGACAGUAUCUGGUAAAGAAACCCCGGCUAACUCCGUGCCAGCAGCCGCGGUAAUACGGAGGGGGUUAGCGUUGUUCGGAAUUACUGGGCGUAAAGCGCACGUAGGCGGAUCAGAAAGUAAGGGGUGAAAUCCCAGGGCUCAACCCUGGAACUGCCUCUUAAACUCCUGGUCUUGAGUUCGAGAGAGGUGAGUGGAAUUCCGAGUGUAGAGGUGAAAUUCGUAGAUAUUCGGAGGAACACCAGUGGCGAAGGCGGCUCACUGGCUCGAUACUGACGCUGAGGUGCGAAAGUGUGGGGAGCAAACAGGAUUAGAUACCCUGGUAGUCCACACCGUAAACGAUGAAUGCCAGUCGUCGGGUAGCAUGCUAUUCGGUGACACACCUAACGGAUUAAGCAUUCCGCCUGGGGAGUACGGU